rnacentral:rRNA from 1 species
AUUCCAGCUCCAGUAGCGUAUAUUAAAGUUGUUGCAGUUAAAAAGCUCGUAGUUGGAUUUCUGGCAAGGCAGAGCUAACCUGGUACUAUGUAUCGUGUGUUGGACUCGGUCUGCCAUCCUUCCAGAAAAGCAUCAUACCCUUCAUUGGGCCGUGGUGAUAGAUCUGGAACUUUUACUUUGAAAAAAUUAGAGUGUUCAAAGCAGGCGUUACGCUAUGAAUACAUUAGCAUGGAAUAAUAAUUUAGGACUUCAGUUCUAUUUUGUUGGUUUCUAGGACCGAAGUAAUGAUUGAUAGGGAUAGUUGGGGGUGCUAGUAUUCAGCGGCCAGAGGUGAGAUUCUUGGAUUCGCUGAAGACUAACUUAUGCGAAAGCAUUCACCAAGGAUGUCUUCAUCA